rnacentral:rRNA from 1 species
AACGCUGGCGGCGUGCCUCAGACAUGCAAGUCGAACGCGAAAGUUCCCUUCGGGGGAUGAGUAGAGUGGCGCACGGGUGAGUAACACGUAGGUAAUCUACCUUCGGAUGGGGAAUAACAACCGGAAACGGUUGCUAAUACCGCAUAAUGCAGCGGCACCUAAUGGUGACAGUUGUUAAAGCGGGGGAUCGAAAGACCUCGCGUCUGAAGAGGAGCCUGCGGCGGAUUAGCUAGUUGGUAAGGUAAUGGCUUACCAAGGCGACGAUCCGUAGCCGGCCUGAGAGGGCGGUCGGCCACACUGACACUGACAUACGGGUCAGACUCCUACGGGAGGCAGCAGUCGGGAAUUUUGGGCAAUGGGCGCAAGCCUGACCCAGCAACGCCGCGUGAAGGAUGAAAUCCCUCGGGAUGUAAACUUCGCAAGAACGGGAAGAAUAAGCCUGUGCAAAUACCACGGGUGAUGACGGUACCGUUUGUAAGCUCCGGCUAACUCCGUGCCAGCAGCCGCGGUAAUACGGGGGGAGCAAGCGUUGUUCGGAUUUACUGGGCGUAAAGGGCGCGUAGGCGGCCACCGCAAGUCAAUUGUGAAAUCUCCGGGCUUAACUCGGAAAGGUCAACUGAUACUGCGGGGCUAGAGUGCAGAAGGGGCAACUGGAAUUCUCGGUGUAGCGGUGAAAUGCGUAGAUAUCGAGAGGAACACCUGCGGCGAAGGCGGGUUGCUGGGCUGACACUGACGCUGAG